rnacentral:lncRNA from 1 species
AAUAUAUUGAUAGAUACAUUCUGGAAAAAAACUAUGUACUAUAAUAUUCCAUCAAAAGAAUUGAAGAAGAAAUGCAUCAUGCAAAUGCAAGAAUGCUUAUUUUACUUACACUGGUAAAAAAUCAUACGCAGUAGUCUUCUAUUAAGAGAAUUAAGAGAUUUAAAAUAAAGUUGUAUCCUAAUAAAAUGUAGUUGCAGUGACAAGCAAUAAUCAAGACACAAAUAUGUAAAAGGUAUUCAAUCAAUGUAAUGGAAAAGAGAGCGUAUGAUUUUUCACUACGAUAAG